GGUUAAGCGACUAAGCGUACACGGUGGAUGCCCUGGCAGUCAGAGGCGAUGAAGGGCGUGCUAAUCUGCGAUAAGCGCCGGUAAGGUGAUAUGAACCGUUAUAACCGGCGAUACCCGAAUGGGGAAACCCAGUGUGACUCGUCACACUAUCAUUAACUGAAUCCAUAGGUUAAUGAGGCGAACCGGGGGAACUGAAACAUCUAAGUACCCCGAGGAAAAGAAAUCAACCGAGAUUCCCCCCAGUAGCGGCGAGCGAACGGGGAGGAGCCCAGAGCCUGAAUCAGCAUGUGUGUUAGUGGAAGCGUCUGGAAAGGCGCGCGAUACAGGGUGACAGCCCCGUACACAAAAGCGCAUGUGCUGUGAGCUCGAUGAGUAGGGCGGGACACGUGGUAUCCUGUCUGAAUAUGGGGGGACCAUCCUCCAAGGCUAAAUACUCCUGACUGACCGAUAGUGAACCAGUACCGUGAGGGAAAGGCGAAAAGAACCCCGGCGAGGGGAGUGAAAAAGAACCUGAAACCGUGUACGUACAAGCAGUGGGAGCACAGGUUUACCUGUGUGACUGCGUACCUUUUGUAUAAUGGGUCAGCGACUUAUAUUCUGUAGCAAGGUUAACCGAAUAGGGGAGCCGGAGGGAAACCGAGUCUUAACCGGGCGUUAAGUUGCAGGGUAUAGACCCGAAACCCGGUGAUCUAGCCAUGGGCAGGUUGAAGGUUGGGUAACACUAACUGGAGGAAUGCGAACCGACUAAUGUUGAAAAAUUAGCGGAUGACCUGUGGCUGGGGGGUGAAAGGCCAAUCAAACCGGGAGAUAGCUGGUUCUCCCCGAAAGCUAUUUAGGUAGCGCCUCGUGAAUUCAUCUCCGGGGGUAGAGCACUGUUUCGGCUAGGGGGCCAUCCCGGCUUACCAACCCGAUGCAAACUGCGAAUACCGGAGAAUGUUAUCACGGGAGACACACGGCGGGUGCUAACGUCCGUCGUGAAGAGGGAAACAACCCAGACCGCCAGCUAAGGUCCCAAAGUCAUGGUUAAGUGGGAAACGAUGUGGGAAGGCCCAGACAGCCAGGAUGUUGGCUUAGAAGCAGCCAUCAUUUAAAGAAAGCGUAAUAGCUCACUGGUCGAGUCGGCCUGCGCGGAAGAUGUAACGGGGCUAAACCAUGCACCGAAGCUGCGGCAGCGAACGUAUCACUUAAAGCGAUUCAGCGGGUUACGAUUGACGGAGCGAAGCGACGUCAAAGCGUAUACAAAGUCGAGUCGGUUUAAGGAUACGUUCGUUGGGUAGGGGAGCGUUCUGUAAGCCUGUGAAGGUGUGUCGUGAGGCAUGCUGGAGGUAUCAGAAGUGCGAAUGCUGACAUAAGUAACGAUAAAGCGGGUGAAAAGCCCGCUCGCCGGAAGACCAAGGGUUCCUGUCCAACGUUAAUCGGGGCAGGGUGAGUCGACCCCUAAGGCGAGGCCGAAAGGCGUAGUCGAUGGGAAACGGGUUAAUAUUCCCGUACUUGGUGUUACUGCGAAGGGGGGACGGAGAAGGCUAUGUUGGCCGGGCGACGGUUGUCCCGGUUUAAGCGUGUAGGCUGGUUUUCCAGGCAAAUCCGGAAAAUCAAGGCUGAGGCGUGAUGACGAGGCACUACGGUGCUGAAGCAACAAAUGCCCUGCUUCCAGGAAAAGCCUCUAAGCAUCAGGUAACAUCAAAUCGUACCCCAAACCGACACAGGUGGUCAGGUAGAGAAUACCAAGGCGCUUGAGAGAACUCGGGUGAAGGAACUAGGCAAAAUGGUGCCGUAACUUCGGGAGAAGGCACGCUGACACGUAGGUGAAGUGAUUUACUCAUGGAGCUGAAGUCAGUCGAAGAUACCAGCUGGCUGCAACUGUUUAUUAAAAACACAGCACUGUGCAAACACGAAAGUGGACGUAUACGGUGUGACGCCUGCCCGGUGCCGGAAGGUUAAUUGAUGGGGUCAGCGCAAGCGAAGCUCCUGAUCGAAGCCCCGGUAAACGGCGGCCGUAACUAUAACGGUCCUAAGGUAGCGAAAUUCCUUGUCGGGUAAGUUCCGACCUGCACGAAUGGCGUAAUGAUGGCCAGGCUGUCUCCACCCGAGACUCAGUGAAAUUGAACUCGCUGUGAAGAUGCAGUGUACCCGCGGCAAGACGGAAAGACCCCGUGAACCUUUACUAUAGCUUGACACUGAACAUUGAGCCUUGAUGUGUAGGAUAGGUGGGAGGCUUUGAAGCGUGGACGCCAGUCUGCGUGGAGCCGACCUUGAAAUACCACCCUUUAAUGUUUGAUGUUCUAACGUGGACCCGUGAUCCGGGUUGCGGACAGUGUCUGGUGGGUAGUUUGACUGGGGCGGUCUCCUCCUAAAGAGUAACGGAGGAGCACGAAGGUUGGCUAAUCCUGGUCGGACAUCAGGAGGUUAGUGCAAUGGCAUAAGCCAGCUUGACUGCGAGCGUGACGGCGCGAGCAGGUGCGAAAAGCAGGUCAUAGUGAUCCGGUGGUUCUGAAUGGAAGGGCCAUCGCUCAACGGAUAAAAAGGUACUCCGGGGAUAACAGGCUGAUACCGCCCAAGAGUUCAUAUCGACGGCGGUGUUUGGCACCUCGAUGUCGGCUCAUCACAUCCUGGGGCUGAAGUAGGUCCCCAAGGGUAUGGCUGUUCGCCAUUUAAAGUGGUACGCGAGCUGGGUUUAGAACGUCGUGAGACAGUUCGGUCCCUAUCUGCCGUGGGCGCUGGAGAACUGAGGGGGGCUGCUCCUAGUACGAGAGGACCGGAGUGGACGCAUCACUGGUGUUCGGGUUGUCAUGCCAAUGGCACUGCCCGGUAGCUAAAUGCGGAAGAGAUAAGUGCUGAAAGCAUCUAAGCACGAAACUUGCCCCGAGAUGAGUUCUCCCUGAGACUUAAAGUCUCCUGAAGGAACGUUGAAGACGACGACGUUGAUAGGCCGGGUGUGUAAGCGCAGCGAUGCGUUGAGCUAACCGGUACUAAUGAACCGUGAGGCUUAACCUU
rnacentral:rRNA from 1 species